rnacentral:rRNA from 1 species
GAUGAACGCUGGCGGCGUGCCUAAUACAUGCAAGUCGAGCGAACAGACGAGGAGCUUGCUCCUCUGACGUUAGCGGCGGACGGGUGAGUAACACGUGGAUAACCUACCUAUAAGACUGGGAUAACUUCGGGAAACCGGAGCUAAUACCGGAUAAUAUAUUGAACCGCAUGGUUCAAUAGUGAAAGACGGUUUUGCUGUCACUUAUAGAUGGAUCCGCGCCGCAUUAGCUAGUUGGUAAGGUAACGGCUUACCAAAGCAACGAUGCGUAGCCGACCUGAGAGGGUGAUCGGCCACCCUGGAACUGAGACACGGUCCAGACUCCUACGGGAGGCAGCAGUAGGGAAUCUUCCGCAAUGGGCGAAAGCUUGACGGGGCAACGCCGCGUGAGUGAUGAAGGUCUUCGGAUCGUAAAACUCUGUUAUUAGGGAAGAACAAAUGUGUAAGUAACUAUGCACGUCUUGACGGUACCUAAUCAGAAAGCCACGGCUAACUACGUG